AUCUCUUUAGUCCUAUUAAAGGAGUUUACAUUGUAGGUGCUAGACUAUAUAUCUCCUCUUUCAAAAUUGGUCUAUUCCAAGAUUUAUUUAUUGUAAACAAAUAAACAUGAACUAUUUUUUUCCCAUCAACUCCUUCAAUAAAGAGAAUAUGGUUUGUCGAGUUAUGUUUCAGGCCUUUUGGAAUGAGCACAAAAGAGUAGAGUCAUAGAGAAAAUCUGUAAAUUUUUCAAGAGACUAAGAAAGUCUUGACAUGUUUUAUGAAGUGUAACCAAUGCCAAAUGUUCUUGCUAGGUAUGCACUUGGAAUGUGGAGACAGAGAUUCUUCCAGACCCACGCUUUCUGUUUGCAGCUGUAAUGCUGGGUAGAAAGUGUACAUUUAACAAUUAUUUGGUUUAUUUGAUUGGAGUUGGGUCCUUCCCAGCAGUGCCUUGUUCUUCUCCAUAUAAUGAAUCUCUGUACCCAGUUGCUGCAUCAGGAAAGCAAGAGUGGAACAGUACUUCUAGGGGGCUAGGAGAAUUUGGAAAGUACCUGGAUUAUCAGCAAGGAUGGUGGGAAGGAGGAAUAUGAGCACACACUGCAAGGCAGGAUGCUCUUCUCUAUCUAUGUGCCUGUGUGUGUGUGUGUUAAAAUACCUAAAUCAUUGUCUGACUAUAACAAUGGCUGAUGUGGAAACAUCAACACAGUGAGGCAAGGGAUCUCUAGUAUUGUCCACUUCAUGUGAUAGCAGCAACAUUUUAAUCAGGGUCAAGAGAAUUUGAAUGUAUACCUAUUCUUUUCACCCAAAUCCUUCAUGGGAUCCACAAAAUCUCUUAUCCACUGCUUGAGGUAGAAUAAAUAGGUGCAACCAAUUUGAAUAUUUAUGUUUUAAUGUUGAAUAUUCGUAUUACCUAGCAAUUCCAUUCCUAGACAUAUUCCCGACUCUUCAUAGCAGUUCUAUUCACGAUAGCAAACACCAGGUGACAUGCCCUUCAUCUGCUAAGACAAUAAAUAAGUUGUAGACUAUUUGCACAAUAAAAUAUAAGCCCAUAGUCACAACAAACCAACUGGAGUGAGAAGCAUCAAUAUGGGUGAAUCUUGGCAAUAUAUUAUUUUAUUUUAACUUUUGUUUUAAGUUCAGGGGUGUAAGUGCUGAUUUGUUAUGUAGAAAAACUUGUGUCAUGGUGAUUUGUUGUAUAGAUUAUUUAAUUAGUACCCAUUAGUUAUUUUCCUGAUCGUCUCCCUCCUCCCACCCUCUACCCUCUGAAAGGCCCCAGUGUGUGUUGUUCCCCUCUAUGUGUCCGUGUGUUCUCAUCAGGCAGCUCCCACUUAAAAGUGAGAACAUGUGAUAUUCGGUUUUCUGUUCCUGAGUUAGUUUUCUAGGAAUAAUGGCUUGAGUUAAAAAAAAAAAAGAUGUUCAAAAGUGGCAGACUACUUUUAAAAAAAACUAAAGUAAAAAAUAUACACUUUUAUUAUACUAAUAAAGUUGCAAUAAAAAUGAUACAACAUGAAAAGUUGGGGUAUGACAAAUUGGAGACUCAGGAUAAUGAUUACCUUGGGUAGGGAAACCACAUAAUUCGAUGUAUGUUUCAGUUACUAAGCCUUUGCAGAAACAUUACUCCCAAACUUUGUAUAAUAAAACAGCCAUUUAUUAUGCUCAUGGUUUCUGUAGGUCAGAAAGUCGGACAUGGUGUGGCAUGAUGGCUGGCCUCUUUUCCAUGAUGUCUACCCCAGUUGAUAACCAGAAUUAACCACCAACUCUGUGAGUGAAUGAGCCUUCAGAUGAUUCCAUACCCUUGACAUUUUCCAUUUGAAGUUGAAAGACAACAUGAAGGCUCUUAGGAAGGUGGUGAGUAUAUAUAUUUUUAAUGCAGGAGGGAUGUAAAUGUGGUCAUCAAAGAGUGGACUGUGGCAGAUUUUAUUUUCCAAAAAUGGUCAAAGCAAUGUUUCUUGUCCCAUAGGCUCUUCAAAAGUUUAUCAUUUUAACAUAAAGAUAUGGGGACUAUUUUCUUCCUCUUGAAUCUGGUUGAGACUUUUUGACUGCCUGGAUGACUACAAUGUGGCAGCAGUGAGAGUAAUGAAACUUCUCCAGCUUCCAAAUGACUCUGUAUUGGGAUACUAUCAAUCUCUUCAACACUCUUCCAAUUUCCCCUGCCACUUUUGUAGAUUUUUGUUAUGGUAGCAACCCACUUUCAGGUACUGAUUUCUGUUCCUUAAUAUAACUACAUGAAAAGUUUCCCCAAAACUUAGUGGUAAAAAAUAGUCAUUUAUGAUGGUCAUAAGAAUUUAUGACCAGGCAGAAUAAUGACAAUUGUCUCUCCCUCAUCAGGUCUGAUGCCUGAGCUAUAAUAGUCAAAGACUAGAGGAAUAUAAUCAUAUAGUGUUAUUCACUGAUAUGUCUGAAAAUUGGUGCUGUCUGCUGCAGACCUCAGACACUCUCCAAGUGGGCCUUUUUAUGUAUUCCCUCUGAGUGGGCUACUUUGGGCUUUCUCAUAUCCUAGAGCUAUCCUCUGAGGAUGAGCAUCAUGAAACAGAAAGAGAGACAGAUUGAGAAACAGGCAGAAGCCAUAUUAUCUCCCAUGAUCCAGUUCCAGAAGCUAAGCAGUACCACUUACACCUUAUUCUCUAUUCAUCAAGGUGGUCACAAAGCCCUUCCUGAGUUGAAGGGAAAAGGAAAAAGAUGUACCACUUGAUGAGGAGGGGGAGAAGACAAGGUUUUCAAAGAGUAGUGGAACUGGAAAUGUUAUUGUGGUCACUUUUGGAAAACACAGUCUGCUACAAUGUAUUGCUAAGGCCCUGGAUUUUUUGAAGGGGGUAGUCCACAGGUAAUUAUUGCAUUAUGGGAAAAAAUUAAUUAAGGAAAAUAAGGUUAUGCAUAGACUUAUGAUAAAAUGGUGACCUAAGCAGUAUAAUUAAUCCAGUGUGCAACUGAAGACCAAAGUGGAGGGAAAAUCUUGUUCCCCUUUGAGGGAGGCAGAGUGGUAUCAUUCAGUCAUUAAUUCAUUCACUGAAUAGAACAAAACAGGGUUGAAAUCCUGAUUCUCUGCUAUCCUUCUGGAGUCCUUUACUUCUCUAACAAUAACAACAAUAACAAAUAACAAUAAUAGAUUAAUAAUUAUGGCUAAUGUUAAUCGAAUGCCCACUAUCUGUGCCAGGUGCUCUUCUAAGUGUUCUACAUGUAUUUAGCUUUAAACCCCUGAAAUAAUCUUAUAUGUAGAUACUCUUAUCCUUGCUUUUCAGGUGAGGAAAUUGAGAUACAGAAAUGUGAAGAAAUAAUGUCACACAGCAGUGGAGUCAGAAUAAAAAUGCAGACAGAUAGGUUUUAGACUUCUAUGCUUUUAAUCACCAUGUAAUUUCCUUGUCUCUUAAAUAGUCAUAACAAAACAGUAGUUUUGAUAUAGGACAGUAAAGAGCCCUUUGAUAUACUACUGGUUUUGAAUGUGUAUAGAGGCCUCAUAUAUAGUCUUCAGUCAUUAAGAAAUUAUAGUAAUAUUUUGCUCCCAAAUUGUGGGGUCUGUAAAUGUUCUCUAUAACAUUAUCUUUAUGAAAAUCCACAGAGGCCAGGGAUAGAGUAGGAACAGUACUAAGUUUCAAAGGCAAAUGGUGAUGGGCUUGAGGAAGUAACAGUGAGGUUAGAGGGAAGAAGGGAAGGAGAGAAGGAUGGCCAGCAGACCCAAGUGCAGCGUUCAGAGGGGGGGGCAACCAAGGGAGAUGUGGGGAAAGACUGGAUGUGGCCACAGCAGCAGUGUACAGAGAAGGGUCAUAGAUGCGGUCCCAUCUGGUUUGGAGUACAGUAGUUCCUACUAAGCACAUGGAAUGGACCAAGAAGUAGGACCCCAUUAGGGCUACCCGGUUUCAUGAUGGGCUUCAGUCAGAGAAGUAGCUACAGAGAGAGUCUACCUCAAGUUCAGCGAGUCUUCUUACAUUACUUGACCCAGUAAGGUGUGCCCUCAUGAGAUCUGUUGCUGCUAACCCAGCAUGUGUCCUAAUAUAUUGCAGUUGCUUAUCUCCUUGUCAGGAACUGAAAUUAAGGGCAGUGACAUGUCCAUCCUAUUCAUUGUCAUAUCCCAGAGCUUUGCCUACUGUGAAUCACUAACUGGAGCUUAAUGAGUAGAGCUUAAUAAAUAUAAGCUGACUGAGUGAAAGCUGUAAAUCUACAGUAUAAUGAACUGGGGGCUGUUGAGCGCUGGGGGGUACUGGAGUGUGAGAAAGGAAAGUUGGAAAGUAUAGGUAUGGGUUUGGUAGGAGUUCGUGCUGGUUGCGUGAAAGGGGAAAAAGAGAGUUAAGUUUUAGCAGCAAGUGCCUGCUGUUGUUGGAGGGGUGUGUGUGUGUGUGUGUGUGUGUGUGUGUGUGUGUGUAAGUGCAUUUGCAAAAUGUGAGAUUUGCUUUGUAGGGAGUGGGGAGCAUAAGCAGGGUAUAUAUUGUGUUAGUGAACAGAGUAAGACUAAUUCCACAUUUUAUGUGUAUUUGGACAAGGUUUGCUCAGAGAUAGGACAUAUAUGAUUCCAUCAGCUGAAAAACUUGCACCUGAGAAGAACACAAGAAAGCCAAGAACGUAUCGUUCCAAAUACAGCUGCCAAAUUCUACUGUACAUCUUCUCUUUUGGUACAGUUAAGGGAAUUGGUCUCAUAUACUUGAGUUUUCACAAAUAAGAUUCUAUCAGGAAAACAUGAGAGAAGGCUAAAAAUUCACAUCAAAACCUUAUUGCAAUUAUUUGUUGUCUGAAAAUGGUAUAAAAGGUGUACCUAUAAAUUCAAAACCACUGAUAUAUCAAUAGUAUAUAAUAUUAUCAACCCGAUAAAGGUAUACAGUACAUAUUAUACAAUGAAACUUAUUACUGAAAAUCUAAAGAAGGUAAAGUUUCUGUUAUCAAUCCAAUAAAGUGAUAUUGCUCACUGUCAGCAUAUGAUGAGUAAAAAUUAACCAGCAUGCUAUGUCAAUUGCUAAAUUAUCAUGGAUCUGAUUUUGUCAUAAUUGGACCAGAAGUUUAGAGAUAUACCAGGAAUGACCAUUUUCAGGUGUUUUAUUUACGUAUAAACUAAUUCUGUUAAAAAAGAACCAUUCUGUUUUUGAAUAACACAAAAGAAAAAAGCUGCUUAUCUUCCUUUAAGUCAUUAAUAUGACAUCAGAAAAAUUUGAUGAAAGAAACAUGCAAAUUGCACCUUUCCCCAGAGGAGCCUGACUGGCUGUGGAUAUCUGGGAAAAGCACAGCACUGAUUAUUCUUCUCUAUAACACAAAAUUUCUCCUGACACCAUCUGUCUGUCCUCACCUACCAAACAUAUCUGCUCCAUUCUGAGAAAAUGUCUCUCGGCAACUUUCUUCUCAUAAAACAAAGUUAUGAAAAUAAACUAGCAUUAUUCAUGAACAUUUCACCAGUCUGAAACAACAUGUGCAAAAUAAAAAUAAAAUUUGGAAAACCAUAUCUCAGGAAAAGCAUAAAAUCAAGUCAUGAAAAAAAAAAAAAAGAAAGAAAAAAGAAGUCAGCCAGCCC
rnacentral:lncRNA from 1 species